GACGAACGCUGGCGGCGUGCCUAAUACAUGCAAGUCGAACGCUUCUUUCCUCCCGAGUGCUCGCACUCAAUUGGAAAGAGGAGUGGCGGACGGGUGAGUAACACGUGGGUAACCUACCCAUCAGAGGGGGAUAACACUUGGAAACAGGUGCUAAUACCGCAUAACAGUUUAUGCCGCAUGGCAUAAGAGUGAAAGGCGCUUUCGGGUGUCGCUGACGGAUGGACCCGCGGUGCAUUAGCUAGUUGGUGAGGUAACGGCUCACCAAGGCCACGAUGCAUAGCCGACCUGAGAGGGUGAUCGGCCACACUGGGACUGAGACACGGCCCAGACUCCUACGGGAGGCAGCAGUAGGGAAUCUUCGGCAAUGGACGAAAGUCUGACCGAGCAACGCCGCGUGAGUGAAGAAGGUUUUCGGAUCGUAAAACUCUGUUGUUAGAGAAGAACAAGGACGUUAGUAAC
rnacentral:rRNA from 1 species